UGAUACAACACAGCAUCCGGGACACUUUGCUCAUGUGUGAGAUGUGCAAGGUUUUAAUUUUUUUAAAAUGGAUGCCGAAAGGAAAAUCAACACACAACACAUCCAUGAUGCACUUGUGACACUUGCAGUGUGUUUCAGUUUUUAGCAGGAUAUCUUAAAAGCCAGUGACUAUAUCUUUACAAAACUUCUUGAAAUGAUAAAACGACAGAGGCCUUGGCGGAGGGACAUGCUGUUGUUUUGCUGGUUUUGGAUGCUAUCGUUGGGACACAGCAGUAAGAGUGCAGUGAGGGAUGAAGGAGUUUGGUGGAUCAUCCGUGUCUGUAAGGUGACUGGUUCAAAAGAGUGAAUCUGAAGCACAAACGCUGUGUUCCUUCAUAAGAGAGAAAACGUGAGCGUUAGCUUGUGUGUUUGGUUGGCACGAUAUUCAUCCCCUCAUCAUGGCAGACACCGCUGGGGAGCGAGGUUUUAACAAGUUACACUAAAA